UACGUAGGGUGCAAGCGUUGUCCGGAAUUACUGGGUGUAAAGGGUCCGCAGGCGGGCAAGCAAGUCGGUGGUGAAAUCCUGUGGCUUAACCACAGAACUGCCUCCGAUACUGCUUGUCUUGAGUUCGAGAGAGGAUGAUGGAAUUCAUGGUGUAGCGGUGAAAUGCGUAGAGAUCAUGAAGAACACCGGAAGCGAAGGCGGUCAUCUGGCUCGAUACUGACGCUCAGGGACGAAAGCGUGGGGAG
rnacentral:rRNA from 1 species